rnacentral:rRNA from 1 species
AUUGAACGCUGGCGGCAUGCCUUACACAUGCAAGUCGAGCGGCAGCGCGGGGGCAACCCAGGCGGCGAGCGGCGAACGGGUGAGUAAUACAUCGGAACGUGUCCAGUAGUGGGGGAUAACCUGUCGAAAGAUAGGCUAAUACCGCAUACGAUCUACGGAUGAAAGCGGGGGACCGCAAGGCCUCGCGCUAUUGGAGCGGCCGAUGUCGGAUUAGCUAGUUGGCGGGGUAAAAGCCCACCAAGGCGACGAUCCGUAGCUGGUCUGAGAGGACGACCAGCCACACUGGAACUGAGACACGGUCCAGACUCCUACGGGAGGCAGCAGUGGGGAAUUUUGGACAAUGGGGGCAACCCUGAUCCAGCCAUGCCGCGUGAGUGAAGAAGGCCUUCGGGUUGUAAAGCUCUUUCGGCGGGGACGAAACGGUUCGUGCCAACACCACGGACUAAUGACGGUACUCGCAGAAGAAGCACCGGCUAACUACGUGCCAGCCGCCGCUGUAA